AACAACUCUGCUAGAAAUUAAAACUAGCUCAACUUGUUACAUAUUUUUCACUUCCUUUUCUGAGUCUCUCUUCGCAGAUUGGAGGCCAGAAAUAAAAGCAGGGCACAGUCAGCAAAGGACCGAGAAGCCUUUAAAUAUUCGUACUCUGCAGCCAAGGUGAGGGGGGAAAAAAGCUUGUCCAAUUUAUUAUGAAUAGUUUACACUACUCAAAAAAGAUACUCCGAUUUAACAUUUUACCUUACUUUGCAAUGCCACCAGGCAAUCACAGGAAUACUUAGAGGCUUGCUUUUUCUAGCCACUAAACAAUUUCAGUAAAGGGUUCAGUAAAAUGUCUUCAGCAACACUAUGAGGCAAAUAAAGAUGUAGUAACGAGAAUAAAAUUCCUUCUGCUGGUAUACAAAGUUGUACUAAUACUAAUUGUGUUCAGGGAAGGGGAAGUUGUAUUCUUACAACUAUACCAAUGUAACGGCAGCUGGAUGAGUAAGAACAAACUUUCUGCGUAUUUGUAUCCUCUUUCAGAUCCUACUUGUGUAGGAUGAACUUGCCACCACUUCUGAUCGCUGCUCAUAGCCCACCUGCUGCGGGUUACUGCUUGCAUAGCCCAGCUAACAGAAGAGCUUGCAUGAGCACUCACAUCAGUCCGGCUGGCGAGGUCAUCAGCUGUUUUAACCUAACCUAGCUGUGCCUGUCGUGGAUGAGCUCUCAUUACUACUGAUGGCAAACCUUUGGCACAGCUCUUUAAAGUACUCUGGAGUAUAUUGAUGCACUACAUUACAAGGCCCAAUACUUGGAGUUGUCAGUAGAGCACCUGCAUUAACAUCUCUUGACUCUUCACUGUGGAGACGGGAUAAAAAUGGAUGAAUCACACCUGGCCAUCACGCCUCAGGUUGCAGGGAGAAGGCUCCUCCUUUCUGAACACACAGGCAGAAGUUGCUCGAUGCAGGACUGUCCAGAGACUCAGCUAAGUAUGGAAACAGAGGACGCCAGGCUUAGAGAAGAAUGACCUCCAGGGGGAUGAACAAGUAAGUUUUGCUACGAACAGGUGUUUGUUACAGUUAAACUAUAAGCUUAUCUUAUAGCAACCCGUGGGCCAUGUUGGAGUCAGAGCAAGGUAUUUUUUUAGACUGCAUUAUCUAGGAUGAAGUUAGAGUAGCCAACACCCCUAGGUUUGUGCUGAAGGAGUAAAACAGCACAGAGCACCCCAGCCUCAGCAGAUGCGUGGGUCCAUACAGUCCAGCUUGCUCUGCACUUCCCUCCUAUGGCAACAACCAUGGAGAAGUUUCUCCUACAUUCUGGUUUUAGUUUUCUUUGUAAAUUGGCCAUCUAUUAACUGAAUUUACAGGUUUAGUAAUAGCGACAAAGGCUGUACAAAAUCUAGUAAAGAAUAAACUUAGUGGGGGAGCUCCACCUAGCUGGCAAAAUUUCUCUUUUUGGCCCAGUUUAUUUUACUCGCUGUGAGAGAAAUUAUUUCACCGAGCAAGUUGCUUCCACACAAAAGCUCACUGUAGAAACCACAGUGCCAAAUGCGCAUCCACCAGAUACAUGGACCAGACAUCAUACCACUGACUCUACUGCACUGGGAGCCUGAACUAUAAGUUCCAUCCUCCAAGGAGACUCAGAAGUCCUGAUCAGGAGAGAAUCAGGAAAAAAACAGCUCUGGCUGAUUGCCAGGAUGACAUCUACAAGAAUGGACUGGGAUUUUUCUCAUGAGCUCACUAUCUUUUGCAUUUUUUGGUUAUUUCAGGGUUGCACUCUAUUUUAGUGACACCAUAAUACAUCCAUGGUCAGAAGGCACUGCCAUCAAGGAUAAAAUUUAAGACGAGUGGAAUUCAAUGAGUAUGGCAUAAUCCCCCAGUUAGCUGAAUUCUGUGUUGUAACAGGUCAAGACAAAACCAAAAACUUAAAAUUUUCCCCAAACUGCAAAACUAAUCAUGCAUGGCAUUAAAAUUAUCAUUUUAAUCAAUUUUGGUCUCUGGAAAUGUGAAAUACUAAGCAUAAGAGCAUAAAGAGGGAACUAAGGGGUCAAAACUAGUAGGUCUGACCUCCAUGCUGACCUAGCCAGUAAAAGCUAUUACUAACGGAGAAUUGACUAAAUUCCUAAAAGAACAAACAAACAGACAAGAAAAGGAUAUUUCAUCAGUUUUCAUAACGAUGAAGAAUUGAUGACUCACAGAGUAAUAUUUGAACAGAACACCAUUUUCUCAAC
ensembl:lncRNA